GCCGCCCGGGGCUCCCCGCCCGGCCCCGGGGCGACGCGUCCUGCCGCUGCCCGGGGCCGGGCGGGACGGAGCUCCCGGCACGGGCGGGUCCCCCUUAACGGGGAGGCUGGGGUUGGGGUGGGUGCCGCGCUGCCGGAGCUCGGGGAAGCGACGCCCGACGGUGCCGAAGGGCGCGGGCAUCGCCCCGCCUUCAGGUGCCCCCGAGGGCCCACCGCAGGCACCGCAGAUCGUGACAGAGGGAGGCGCAGCAGGGCCUUACAGCUGGGGGAGCAAAACUGGAGGUUAAGCUAAAGCGUACUGUCAAAAUGUUCCUUGGAAUGGGCCCCCCAAAAAAGAGCACCUCACAAACCAUCACUGGGGGGACAGGGAAGGAGGAAACCAGAGACAAGACGCUGACCCAGAAGGCCGUGAAUUCACACAGCCCGUGACAGUUGCAGGACUCCACCUUCUUCCACGGACAAGAUGGCAAGAUCCCACCAACAUGUUCUACUGGUGUCUCAUCCUGCAGGGCACCUACCUUCAUCUCUUCUCUGACCACUUAGUGAUUUCCACAGGUUCACAGGAACGUAAAUGAUCUUUGGGACUACAACCCUGCCAUCAUAUUGUUGCAAUUGUCCAUCAUGUUAAAAGUUUAAAAUGGCAAGAUGGACAGGCAGCAAGAUCUCCUAAACCUGUUGUAGCCUUGCUUCCUAGAGCAUAGUAAAAGGGAAUGUUAUGUUACAUACAGUAUAAGCUAAAAAUGGGAGAAAAUUAAUAAGAGGAAAGAUUUAGUCUGACUUAAGGUCAUUGUGGAGUUGAAUUAGUCUUGGAGCAAGAAACCUAAAGCAUGCAGUUUUAACAGUGGAAGACAAUUGAAACUGGGUCAGCUGAGCACAAUUUAAUACUGAUCUAAAAAGCCCAGGUAUCAACAUCUCCCUUAAAAAAAUCAAAAAACAAACAAAAC